GAGUUCUGAGGUGUCAAGAGGAAAUGGCCCUGUACCCAGUUUCACGUCCCGAACGGGGUCCCUGGUGCCUGGGAUGCCAUGUUGCUGAGCAGAUGGCAGUGUCAUGGGCGUGCUUCUGGUGGAGACAAGAUGGAGAUGAAACUGCACACCCCCUCAUGUUGGCAGCUUUGGAGAGUCUUGGCCAGCUCUUCCAGGGGAGGUGCUGAGAGUUGCAUCAACUCCGUUCUUCCUAGUGGGAAGAUGGGGAAAUAAAUCAACCAAGAUAUUCUUUGACCGAUCACCAUGCCUAUUCAACGUUCAGAUGCCUAUGCCGAUCAGAUCUCUCCAGAAUAUCCCAGUGCUUGGAUGAUUAAGCAAAGAAACAUCAGGAUAGGAAACCUAAGAUGGAGCCAGAAACAAGGUCAUUGCUGAACUUGUAUGCUGUGAGUUCUACAAUAUUUGAUGGACACGGAUAUUUGGUCCUCAGCAGCC